rnacentral:misc_RNA from 1 species
AAGUCGUAACAAGGUUUCCGUAGGUGAACCUGCGGAAGGAUCAUUACAAAUAAAGCCUGGUAGGAAGUCGGGGUUCUUGAUCUGUAAGUGGUAGGGCGAACCAGUCCGGCUGGCCCGUCCCCGAAAUGUCUUACAUGUCCCCCACAGCCUGAAGGCCGAAUUAUAACCCUUGAUUAUCAUACACUUGUUGCUUUGGGGUGCUCAAGUGCCCCAGAGGACCCAACUCUCUUGCAAUUUAGUGACGUCUGAGUACUAUAUAAUAUUUAAAA